rnacentral:lncRNA from 1 species
CCACCGCUGCUCCCACCACCACCGCUGCUCCAACAACCACCGCUGCUCCCACAACCACCGCUGCUCCAACAACCACAGUUGCCGCUACCACAACGGUUGCAGCAACCACCACAGCUGCUGCUACGACCACAGCAGCUUCUACCACCACCGCUGCUGCCACAACCACAGCUGCUGCUACAACCACCGCUGCUUCCACAACCACAGCUGCUGCUACCACUACCAGGGCCCCAGCUACUUUCGAUUUGAAGCCUUGCGGAACCUACACGCUUCAGCCCGGCCAGCGCGUCGUUAUCGAGUCCACGAACUUUCCCCAGAACUACGUCACCGACGAAAGGUGUCAAUGGGAGUUCUCGUGCCCCGUUGAGGCAGAAAACUACCUGGACGUCAUCUGCCCGAAGUUCAACCUCGAGAACUCUGCGAACUGCGCCAACGACAGGCUCACCGUCACCUCACGCGGCACAUCGGACGUGAAAUGCGGCACCGACUCUCCUGACGGCACCCAGACAUCCACCGGAUGGGCCAGGUUCACCUACUUCUCCAACGGUGCCGUUACGGACACCGGCUUCCGCUGCUACAUCUGGUGCCGCGCCAAGUAAACCGCCAUCGAACAAUAGCUCUACAGUCUACAUGUAGCCUAAAAUCCAUAAUCAUCUGGCUAAAUAGAAGAUUUGUUGACAAAAUUUCUUUAACAUGAUUGCAGCCUA